CACUUAGAUGUUCUGGGCCGCACGCGCGCUACACUGAUGCAUUCAACGAGUCUAAAACCUGCUCUGAUAGGGGUGGGUAAUCUUUUGAAUGUGCAUCGUGAUUGGGAUAGAUGAUUGCAAUUUUUCAUCUUCAACGAGGAAUGCCUAGUAAACGCAAGUCAUCAGCUUGCAUUGAUUACGUCCCUGCCCUUUGUACACACCGCCCGUCGCUCCUACCGAUUGAAUGAUCCGAUGAAUAUCAUGGAUUGAGGAUGCAAGCAGGUUCGCCUGUCUUCAUCUUCGAGAAGUGAAGUAAAUCUUAUCAUUUAGAGGAAGGAGAAGUCGUAACA
rnacentral:rRNA from 1 species